rnacentral:tRNA from 2 species
GGGAGAUUAGCUCAGUCUGGCAGAGCGCUACCUCGACAAGGUAGAUGUCACAAGUUCAAAUCUUGUAUCUCCCACAA